AUGUGCUGAGUGGGAAGUUAGCGGUCUCCUGAACCUGAAAUCCGCUAUAUGCAGGACUGAUCUCCGUGGGAAGGAUUUUGCUGAAUUAUUUAAUUUAUAUAAGUAGUAUUGAGAUCCCAGCCUUGCGCAAUAUUGUGUUUUUAAACCCCGUCAGGUCUGGAAAGAAGCAGCGGUAGAAAAUAAUUAUAUGUGCCGUAAGUUACUGGUAUUGAGCUGGCUGUAUAUGUUAGUAUUAAACAGAAUUUUCAACCCACGGUGCACAA
rnacentral:SRP_RNA from 1 species